UACGGGGGGAGCAAGCGUUGUUCGGAUUUACUGGGCGUAAAGGGCGCGUAGGCGGUCAGUGCAAGUCAGUUGUGAAAUCUCCGGGCUUAACUCGGAACGGUCAACUGAUACUGCUCGACUAGAGUGCGGAAGGGGCAACUGGAAUUCUUGGUGUAGCGGUGAAAUGCGCAGAUAUCGGGAGGAACACCAAUGGCGAAGGCAGCUCGCUGGGACGGUACUGACGCUGAGGCGCGAAAGCGUGGGGAGCAAACAGG
rnacentral:rRNA from 1 species